GUGGGGAAUAUUGCACAAUGGGGGAAACCCUGAUGCAGCGACGCCGCGUGAGCGAAGAAGUAUUUCGGUAUGUAAAGCUCUAUCAGCAGGGAAGAAAAUGACGGUACCUGACUAAGAAGCACCGGCUAAAUACGUGCCAGCAGCCGCGGUAAUACGUAUGGUGCAAGCGUUAUCCGGAUUUACUGGGUGUAAAGGGAGCGUAGACGGAUGGGCAAGUCUGAUGUGAAAACCCGGGGCUCAACCCCGGGACUGCAUUGGAAACUGUUCAUCUAGAGUGCUGGAGAGGUAAGUGGAAUUCCUAGUGUAGCGGUGAAAUGCGUAGAUAUUAGGAGGAACACCAGUGGCGAAGGCGGCUUACUGGACAGUAACUGACGUUGAGGCUCGAAAGCGUGGGGAGCAAACAGGAUUAGAAACCCCAGUAGUCC
rnacentral:rRNA from 1 species